CAUCUAAAAAGAGGAACCAAAGCGUAGAACUCUCCUCUGGUUUUUCUAAGGAAAAAGGGCGCAGAGUCGAGGAUGGGGUUAAUAAGUCCCACCGGCAGCGGUUCCUCUCUGCAGCAGCGACCGCCGGCCCAUCCAUCCCUCCUCCAUCCUGGCUCAGGCGCGAGAUGGGGGAGAUCACGAGGAGGGAGAGGGAGGCGCUCGCGCGGGGCUUCUCCGCCGACGGCGUCCUCCGCCGCCGCAGCCGCCCUCUCCCAGCGCGCCAUCGUCGUCUUCGUCCCCGCCGGCCUCCACGGAAGGGGGCGGCAAGACCACGAGGAAAGGCGAGAUCGCGAAGGCCAUCAGAGACAGGCUGUCGUCUCUAUCCCCCUCCAGAACGAAUCGCUUCUCUUGCUGGGGUAACACCGGGGCGACGAGGCUCCCGAUCCGCCGGAGCAGGAGCGGCGGCGAGCAAGGGGCGCCGGCGGCCGUGACGGCAACGAUGCCCUCCCGUUGCGCCUGCGUCAAUGGCGACGCCUGCGGCUGCUGCACGCGCACGAGCAAAGGCAAGGCGGUCGCGGUCGCGGCCGCUGGCGUCAGAUCCCUCGUGGAACGCAACGAUUUCUACUGCGAUGAAUGCAAUCCGCACAAAUAGGGACCUUGUUUCCUUACUUUUUCGAGAAAAGGGGGACCUGUUUUCCUCUUCUUGUCAACCGGUUGCUGUCUCAGUUUUGGGCUAGCGAGGAUUGCCGUAUCAACUAUCAAUGUCUGUACCAGUAUAUGUGUACCAAGAGAUAUUAUUACGCCGUUUGGGACGUACGGGUUUCCCCCGGAAUCAAACUCUGUACGAUUUGUGCAAACUUUAGCUGAAUUCAUGAGUUCCAACCAUAGCCUGAAUCCUUUGUAUGCA